rnacentral:rRNA from 1 species
GGAGGGGGCAAGCGUUAUUCGGAAUUAUUGGGCGUAAAGGGCGUGUAGGCGGCUUGAUAAGUCAAAGGUGAAAUCCCUCGGCUCAACCGAGGAACUGCCUUUGAAACUGUCUGGCUAGAGGCCGGGAGAGGGUAGCGGAAUUCCCAGUGUAGCGGUGAAAUGCGUAGAUAUUGGGAGGAACACCAGUGGCGAAGGCGGCUACCUGGACCGGUUCUGACGCUGAGGCGCGAAAGCGUGGGGAGCAAACAGGAUUAGAUACCCUGGGUAGUCCACGCUGUAAACGAUGGGCACUCGGUGCUGCGGGUAUCGACCCCCCUGCGGUGCCUUAGCUAACGCGUUAAGUGCCCCCGCCUGGGGAGUACGGUCGCAAGGCUG